GAGAAAAUUGAUAUACAAUAUCUAAUUUAUAAAACCGAUCAGGCGUAUAUAUAUAAAUAUAUAUAGUUACCUACAUAUGUAGGUGGGUAUUUCAUGUGAAUGGUAACCAACCAUUAGGAUCUGUCUGGUUGAUUGAAAUUAAGUUCUUGGCGAAGGUUAAGGCGAGAAUCUCCAUGUUGACCAAGCAAAAUUUGUCAGACGAUGAUCUGAGUCUUAACCCUGCAAAAAUGGUGGAAUAUGAGAUGCCAAGUGUUGGAUUAUAAGUUUCAUCCAUUACCUAUAAAUACCAUUCAUGUCUCCUGGCUUUUCAAUCAGCUUUCAUUUCAUUCACAAUUCAAACUUAUAUAUGCACACAUUUAUAAUACCAAAUUCUUCAAGUAGGUCAAGAAAAUGGCAAGCCAACAAUCCCACAACUUGGCAAACAAGGCUGGUGAAGCUGCUGGCCAUCUUCAGGUCAUCUCUUCUCUUUAUUACACAAUUGAUAUUUUAUUUUUUAUUAAUAAUAACACAUGAGAACACGGAUUUUCACUUGAACUUACAAAUUCUUAUAAAAUAAGAAAAUAUCGACUAUUUAUCCGGAAAAUGAUUAAGCAACUAAUGGAUUAAACAUAUAUAGAUAAUUAACCUAAAUGGGUUUUAUAAUUUGCAGAUGAAGAAGGAGGAGUGCCUGAACCAGACAUCCCAUGCCAUGAACAGGGCAACUGAAAACCAGUCUGCUAACAACCCUAAUUCUUAUGCUUCCCAAGCUACCAACUUCCUUCAACAGGCAGCACUCAAAUCUCUCUCUCUCUCUCUCUCUCUCUCUCUCUCUCUCUCUCUCUCUUAUAUAUUCCCAACCAAUAUAAUUUUAUAUUUAAUUUAUUAUCAUACACUAAAUAGAGACUUAAUAAUUUUACUAAAUAAUCAAAACCCAAAACUUAAAAUGAGAAAACAAUAGGUUUGAACCAAAUGAAACGUAUAGUAAUCGAAAUUUACGUGUAUGGAUUUGCAGACAGGAGAGCAAGUGAAGAACAUGGCACAAGGAGCAGCUGAGGCAGUGAAGAACACUCUUGGAAUGAACAAUGAAAACAAUCCUUCCGGCCACAACGAAAACAAUCCUUCCCCCCACAAUUCAAACAAUUCUUCCUCCCACAACUCAAAUAAUCCUUCCUCCCACAACUCAAACAAUCCUUCCUCCCACAACUCAAAGAAUCCUUCCUCCCACAUUUCAAAGAACCCAAAUCCAUCUACCAGGAUUUGAAGAAAUCUACAUCUCAUAUCAUUCUAUUGGGAGUUUAUUUGAUUUGAUUCGAUUUUUCUUUUCUGGUUUUCGUAAUAAGAAGUUGUUGAGAUGCAUGUAUUCUCUCUCUUCA
rnacentral:lncRNA from 1 species